rnacentral:rRNA from 1 species
GACAGAGGGUGCAAACGUUGUUCGGAAUUACUGGGCGUAAAGCGCGUGUAGGCGGCAGGGCAAGUCGGAUGUGAAAGCCCGCGGCUCAACCGUGGAAGUGCACUCGAAACUGCCUAGCUAGAGUCUCGGAGAGGAAGGUGGAAUGCUUGGUGUAGAGGUGAAAUUCGUAGAUAUCAAGCAGAACACCUGUGGCGAAGGCGGCCUUCUGGACGAUGACUGACGCUGAGACGCGAAAGCGUGGGGAGCAAACAGG